GGAUGUAGCUCAGCAGUUACAGCAUUUGCCUGACAAGCAAGGGGUCUGAGUUCAAUCCCCAGUACCA
rnacentral:tRNA from 1 species